rnacentral:rRNA from 2 species
UGCAACGCGAAGAACCUUACCUGGUCUUGACAUCCACGGAAGUUUUCAGAGAUGAGAAUGUGCCUUCGGGAACCGUGAGACAGGUGCUGCAUGGCUGUCGUCAGCUCGUGUUGUGAAAUGUUGGGUUAAGUCCCGCAACGAGCGCAACCCUUAUCCUUUGUUGCCAGCGGUCCGGCCGGGAACUCAAAGGAGACUGCCAGUGAUAAACUGGAGGAAGGUGGGGAUGACGUCAAGUCAUCAUGGCCCUUACGACCAGGGCUACACACGUGCUACAAUGGCGCAUACAAAGAGAAGCGACCUCGCGAGAGCAAGCGGACCUCAUAAAGUGCGUCGUAGUCCGGAUUGGAGUCUGCAACUCGACUCCAUGAAGUCGGAAUCGCUAGUAAUCGUGGAUCAGAAUGCCACGGUGAAUACGUUCCCGGGCCUUGUACACACCGCCCGUCACACCAUGGGAGUGGGUUGCAAAAGAAGUAGGUAGCUUAACCUUCGGGAGGGCGCUUACCACUUUGUGAUUCAUGACUGGGGUGAAGUCGUAACAAGGUAACCGUAGGGGAACCUGCGGUUGGAUCAC